UCGAACGGCAGCACGGGAGCAAUCCUGGUGGCGAGUGGCGAACGGGUGAGUAAUACAUCGGAACGUGCCCAGUAGUGGGGGAUAGCCCGGCGAAAGCCGGAUUAAUACCGCAUACGACCUACGGGUGAAAGCGGGGGAUCGCAAGACCUCGCGCUAUUGGAGCGGCCGAUGUCAGAUUAGGUAGUUGGUGGGGUAAAAGCCUACCAAGCCUUCGAUCUGUAGCUGGUCUGAGAGGACGACCAGCCACACUGGGACUGAGACACGGCCCAGACUCCUACGGGAGGCAGCAGUGGGGAAUUUUGGACAAUGGGCGCAAGCCUGAUCCAGCCAUGCCGCGUGCGGGAAGAAGGCCUUCGGGUUGUAAACCGCUUUUGUCAGGGAAGAAACGCUCCGGGAUAAUACCUCGGAGUAAUGACGGUACCUGGAGAAUAAGCACCGGCUAACUACGUGCCAGCAGCCGCGGUAAUACGUAGGGUGCAAGCGUUAAUCGGAAUUACUGGGCGUAAAGCGUGCGCAGGCGGUCACGCAAGACAGAUGUGAAAUCCCCGGGCUUAACCUGGGAACUGCAUUUGUGACUGCAUGGCUUGAGUGCGGCAGAGGGGGAUGGAAUUCCGCGUGUAGCAGUGAAAUGCGUAGAUAUGCGGAGGAACACCGAUGGCGAAGGCAAUCCCCUGGGCCU
rnacentral:rRNA from 1 species